AACGAACGUUGGCGGCAUGGAUUAGGCAUGCAAGUCGAGCGAGAAGUGUAGCAAUACACGGAAAGCGGCGGAAGGGAGAGUAAUACGUGGGAAUCUGCCCUUAGACCUGGGAUAGCAGCGGGAAACUGCUGGUAAUACCAGAUAAUGUCUAUGGACCAAAGGUGUGAUUCCGUCUAGGGAUGAGCCCACGUCCUAUUAGCUAGUUGGUAGGGUAAUGGCCUACCAAGGCGAUGAUGGGUAGCGGGUGUGAGAGCAUGACCCGCCUCACUGGGACUGAGACACUGCCCAGACACCUACGGGUGGCUGCAGUCGAGAAUCUUCGGCAAUGGGCGCAAGCCUGACCGAGCGAUGCCGCGUGCGGGAUGAAGGCCGUCGGGUUGUAAACCGCUGUCGAGGGGGAGCAACUUCCAUAGAGUUAUCUUUAUGGAUUGAGUGAUCCCUGGAGGAAGGACGGGCUAAGUUCGUGCCAGCCGCCGCGGUAAGAC
rnacentral:rRNA from 1 species